UAAUACGGAGGGUGCAAGCGUUGUUCGGAAUCAUUGGGCGUAAAGAGCGUGUAGGCGGUUGGGAAAGUCAGAUGUGAAAGCCCUGGGCUCAACUCAGGAAGUGCAUUUGAAACUUCCCAACUUGAGUACGGGAGAGGAAGGGGGAAUUCCCGGUGUAGAGGUGAAAUUCGUAGAUAUCGGGAGGAAUACCGGUGGCGAAGGCGCCCUUCUGGACCGAUACUGACGCUGAGGCGCGAAAGCGUGGGGAGCAAACAGGAUUAGACACCCUGGUAGUCCACGCCGUAAACGAUGAGCACUAGGUGUAGCGGGUAUUGACCCCUGCUGUGCCGUAGCUAACGCAUUAAGUGCUCCGCCUGGGGAUUACGGUCGCAAGACUA
rnacentral:rRNA from 1 species